CUUUUUAAAUGCCUUUGAGUGUUUACGAAAAAAGAAUCAACCAAAUAAAAAUGUACGAUCGAUCGACUUAUAAUUAGUAUCACAUUCGAUUGAAUUUUUUUGUACUUUAGAUAAAGAUAUCAUCAAAUUUUUUCAACUGGUAAACUUAUAGCAUGACGUUGUAUAACAACGUGAAAAAUCUCGACGUCGAUAUCGAGCGAAUGCAUUUUUUCGAAAGUUUCUCUCGCGUUACACUUUGACGAAUCGCCUGCUUCUACUCACAACAUCUCGGAAACUUUCCGUCGUUCAUACGAUUAUCGAUGCGCUUGUUUUUUAAUCGCUGGUCUUAUCUACGCGCCACAAUUCGUAAUUCGCGAUCUGUCUAUUUGAAAUUCGCUGGCUCUUACGCAGGUCGUGCAACAUGUGUACGUAACAGACGUUCGAGAAGAAAAUUAGAAUGCAAAUGUAUCGAGACAAAUUUGAAUGCAAUAGCAGUACAUGUUAAAAGGAAGUUAACAGCUGGUAUUUUUCAUCUUGAAUAUGGCACAACAAAGUAAAAUGAAACUGUGACCAUAAGAUGGAAUAUCGUAUGAUCAUGAAGAUUCGCGCACGUGAUGAACGAGGAUCGCAAAUAAUGACGCGACAACACGAGGAAGAAUGCGAACGGCGACACGUGCUGCACGUGGACGAUAGUGUUACAUGCAUGAUUGCAGGUAUCACGCAGCUAAUCCGCUGAUAACUGCCGUGACCAGCCUCCGCUGCUUUGUUCAUUGUAAAUAGGAACACGCGUAACUCGAUAAAAGUCCCUUGUAUGUGAACGCUGACGGAAGCAGAAAAAGAAACGCGAUACUUGUGAUUAAACUGUCGUCGUUUAUCAAUGCAAUUUUCAAAAAUCUUUUCUAGCCUUCAGAAAUUCGAUAAUGACUUAAUCUUAGAAAUAGUUAUUAUCCUCGUAAUAAAAAUACUUUUACAAGAACAUCGAUUUUAAAUUUUCAGGUGGGCAUGAUAAACAUUUUUCUGAUUAAUUAUUAUUCAUGUAACCAAAACAGAUACGAGUACGUGUUUAAUGAGAAGUAUCUCAUCAAUCUAAAAUGAGCGACUCCUAACUAUUCCUCGAUUAAAGUAUUUCUGUUAGAUCGUCCGAAAAGUUUCUUUCGUUUUAUAAGGAAGUGAUGGACGCGCAACAUUUGAUAUUCGUUGUGAAAGACGUGUUUGUAAAAGAAAGACUAUUCGGACAACCUAAUAUUUAGUAGAAUAAUUAGUAUACAAAUAUGCUUCACAAUUGUAUCACAGAAUACACUAUAUUGGAAUAACACAAGAAUAUGUAAUUUCCAUUGUGAAUCGUUAUUAUGUUUGACUAAAGAAUUAUCCAAACUAGGCCACUGAUAAAUAAUCUAAGCGUCUCUAAAAACAAACGUUUGGUGUCAUGACUUACGUCGCUGAACGAUGAUUAAAUAAUUGUGUAAAUUUCCCAAGGGAACUAAAACGUUGUCGUUAAUUCUGUUCGUUUGCCAACGAACAUCGAGUAAGAAAAGAUACUGCGAGUAUGUUUCUUA
rnacentral:misc_RNA from 1 species